rnacentral:rRNA from 1 species
GUCUAUUCGAGGGUAUAAAUAGUCUAGCCUGCUCACUGCCAAAGUAGUUAAAUAGCCGCGGUAUCCUGACCGUGCAAAGGUAGCAUAAUCAUUAGUUCUUUAAUUGGGAACUCGUAUGAAUGGUUGGACAAAGAAAAAGCUGGCUCUCAUAUUAAAGUUGAAUUUAACUUCUAAGUGAAAAGGCUUAGAUUAUCUAGAGGGACGAUAAGACCCUAUAAAGCUUUAUAAACUAAAAGAAUUCACAAAUUUAGACAUAAAGGUAAUUUUCUAACUUCUUAUUUUGUUGGGGCGACAGUAGAUAACUAAAGUAACUGCUAUUAUAGGAGUACAAUGAUUUUUGAUUAGCCAGUAACAGAUCCCUACUAAGGAUUAUAAAACCAAGUUACUUUAGGGAUAACAGCGUUAUUCCUCCAGAGAGUACUUAUCAAAGGAGGAGUUUGCGACCUCGAUGUUGAAUUAAAAUGUCUAUUUAGUGCAGCAGCUAGAUAAGAAGGUCUGUUCGACCUUUAAUUUUUU